rnacentral:rRNA from 1 species
AUUGAACGCUGGCGGCAUGCCUUACACAUGCGAGUCGAACGGUAACAGGUCUUCGGAUGCUGACGAGUGGCGAACGGGUGAGUAAUACAUCGGAACGUGCCUAGUAGUGGGGGAUAACUACUCGAAAGAGUGGCUAAUACCGCAUGAGAUCUACGGAUGAAAGCAGGGGAUCGCAAGACCUUGUGCUACUAGAGCGGCCGAUGGCAGAUUAGGUAGUUGGUGGGAUAAAAGCUUACCAAGCCGACGAUCUGUAGCUGGUCUGAGAGGACGAUCGGCCACACUGGGACUGGGCCACGGCCAAGACUCCUACGGGAGGCAGCAGUGGGGAAUUUAGGACAAUGGGCGAAAGCCUGAUCCAGCAAUGCCGCGGGCAGGAUGAAGGCCUUCGGGUUGUAAACUGCUUUUGUACGGAACGAAAAGCCCCGGGUUAAUACCCUGGGGUCAUGACGGUACCGUAAGAAUAAGCACCGGCUAACUACGUGCCAGCAGCCGCGGUAA